rnacentral:sRNA from 1 species
GCGGGGCGAGGGGCGGGCCACGCAAGGCUCACCUCCGCUUUCCCCGCCCGCCCCGCCUCCUGUCCGUGGUUACCGCCAGAAUAAUUUGGAUACUCUUUUUGCUCUUAGCCUAGCCGGGCCCUGAGUGCUCUAGCUGACAUCUCUGCUGCCUGAAGCUGCUUUGGGGAAGUACUUUGUCACAGGAACCAAGAAAUGAACUGAGAUUUAUUUACCGUUGUUACACGCGUGUUUUGCUACAUGCAUGUCUGUGUACUACAUGCAUGCAUUGGACACAGAGGCCAGAAGAGGGUAUCUGCAUCUGAUAGCCAUGCUAGGCUCCUGUCUGCAAGCACACCACAGCCUCAGUAACAGCGUCAGAGCCCCAGGCCUCCCUUUGAGCUGGAUCCUAAU